AUGAAUUUCCUCUGCCCCGGCGAUCCGACGGUCUGGCACGGGAGGCGUUUCGCUCCGUGCUUCGCGGAUUUGGUGCUGGGGCUCGGGGGGAAUGUGGUCGCCACGGUCGCCGUCCUGGCGCUCUUCAUCGCCAAGAGGAACGAGUCCAGAGCCGAGAACGUCAGGAGACGUUUACCAGAGAAGUUGUUUGUGUUCGGCAUACCUAGCUUUGCAGCCUGCCUUUCUCUGCUUGGACUAAUUGUGCUUGUAAAGAAGAAAAUUGAAGGGAUAGAUGUCCCAAACCACGAAUCAUUCUUCAGGUGCUCGCAGUUUCUUGCAUGGGUAGCUGUUCUUAUCUCUGCCAAUGGCCCUUGGUCCGAAAUACUAAGCAACCCAAUCAUAUGCAUCUGCUGGAUGUUGAAGAUUCUUCUAGAGAUACCUCAUUUGCAAUACAAGCUCACAGAAAUGAAGGCAAUGGCAUAUGUUAUGGAGAUCGUCUCAUUCUCUACAUCAAUUACAUUUGGACUUUUUCUUAUUGUCAUAACUGCAGUACGCAAAUUAUGCAACAAAAGAGAAGUUAACUCUAUCGAAGCUCCCCUCAUCCUGAACAAUGAAAAUUCUGAGGCUGAAAAUGCAAACUUGGUAAAUAAGCAGCACAAUGUUUGGGAACUGUUGACUUUUAAGUCUGUUAAUCCAAUGAUGGACAUUGGUAUCAGAAGACAACUUGACUUCACAGAUCUACUUGAAUUACCCACUGAGCUCAGAACUGCUUCCUGUUAUGACAAACUUCUGUCUUCCUGGACCGCUGAACAUCAAAAAUACCAUGCUGAUUCUUCUCUACUUAGAGCUAUGUUUUACGCUUAUGGAUGGUCCUACUUACGUUUGGGCAUACUAAAGGUGGUAAAUGACAGUAUCAGUUUUGUAAGCCCACUGCUACUCAACAAGUUCAUAAAGCUUAUUCAAGAAGGUUCCGUUGGCAUGGAUGGAUAUAUUAUUGCCAUUUCCCUAGGAUUGACUUCGAUUAUCAAGUCAUUUUUAGAUACCCAGUACUCCUUUCGUCUUGCAAAGCUCAAGUUGAUGUUGCGAUCAAGCAUGAUGGGAAUAGUUUACCGGAAGUGUCUAUGCCUCAGUCUAUCUGAGCGUUCUAGGUUUUCUGAAGGAGAGAUUCAGACCUUCAUGUCUGUUGACGUUGACCGCACAGUAAACAUAUGUAACAAUCUUCACGAUGCUUGGAGCUUCCCAUUGCAGAUUGGACUUGCUCUUUACCUACUGUAUACACAAGUCAAUUAUGCAUUUCUAUCUGGACUUGCAAUAACAAUCAUACUGAUACCAGUGAACAAAUGGAUUUCUACAAGGAUUGCUACUGCCACACAAAAAAUGAUGAAGCAAAAGGAUGAGAGGAUAAGUUGUGCAGGAGAACUCUUAGCACACAUUAGAACAGUGAAGAUGUACAGCUGGGACAAACUAUUCACUCAACGCUUGAAUAAAAGAAGAGAACUAGAAGUGAAGCAUCUUGCGACUCGAAAAUAUCUGGAUGCAUGGUGUGUCUAUUUCUGGGCAACCACGCCAACAUUGUUCUCCCUUUUCACCUUUUCCAUAUUUGCAAUAAUGGGCCACUCACUGGAUGCCGCCACGGUUUUCACUUGUGUCGCACUCUUCAACACAUUAAUAUCCCCCUUAAACUCAUUGCCAUGGGUUAUUAAUGGGAUGAUUGAUUCUUUUAUCUCUAGCAGAAGAUUGCACAACUAUUUGUCUACUCCAGAGCAUUGCUCUUCCGAGUUGACCAUCUCAAGUGACGUUGUAAAGGAUGAUUCCAACAGACAUACUGAAACAAUCUAUGAUCCCACAGCUGUUAUAAUCAGGAACCUAUGUUGUUCUUGGUCUAGUAUCUCCACUGUUGAGCCCCAAAUAAUUCUCAGAGACAUAUCUCUGCAGCUACAGAACGGCCUCUUCAUUGCGAUCGUAGGCGAGGUUGGUUCAGGCAAGUCAUCUUUGCUGAACUCUAUUAUUGGAGAGAUGUCUGUCAUCAGUGGUUCUAUUAACUCAUGCGGUUCAGUUGCAUAUGUACCACAGGUACCUUGGAUAUUAUCUGGGUCUUUACGGGAUAACAUUUUGCUUGGAAAAGGAUUUGACACAAGGAGAUAUGAAGAAGUAAUACAAGCAUGUACCCUUGAUGUUGACAUCUCAACAAUGAUUGGGGGAGAUAUGUCACAUAUUGGAGAGAAAGGUCUCAACUUAUCGGGUGGACAGAGAGCCCGUCUAGCAUUGGCAAGGGCUUUGUAUCAUGACUCUGGUGUAUACUUGUUCGAUGAUAUACUUAGUGCAGUUGACUCACAGGUUGCUUCAUGGAUCCUCGAAAAGGCCAUUAUGGGACCGCAAAUGAAGCGAAAAACACGAUUAUUAAGCACCCACAAUCUCCAGGCUAUUUAUGCUGCAGAUAUGAUUGUGGUCAUGGCUAAUGGAUUUGUCAAAUGGUUCGGGACAUUGGACAGUUUCUUGGCAACUCCAUAUUCAAAAAUAUCUAAUCCAGAUAGUUCAUCUGCUGUCUCAGCAACAAGUUCACAAAAAAAUAAAGGACCAAGCACCUUUGAAUUCAACACUAAAGAUGUGCUUGACAAUGGUUCAGUGGUUGAUCAGGAGGAACAAAGAGAUCAGACUGAAGCAGAGGGCAGGAAAGAAGGCAUGGUUGAGAUAAUUGUGUACAAAAAAUAUGCAACACUUGCAGGGUGGUCAAUGGUAUUUCUGAUAUUUGUGACUGCAUUCUUAAUGCAAGCAUCUCGUAAUGGCAAUGAUCUUUGGUUGACUUACUGGGUGGAUAGCAGCUCAGGCACCAAUAACACAAGAUUUUAUCUGACUAUCCUCGCUGGGUUUGGCAUAAUCAACUCCUUUUUCACAUUGGGAAGGGCAUUUUCUUUUGCAUAUGGCGGUCUGUGUGCGGCAAUUCAGAUACAUGCAGAUCUUCUUGGCAGUCUAAUCGGUGCCCCGGUUUCUUUUUUCGACCAAAAUCCCAGUGGCCGAAUACUGAAUAGAUUAUCGUCAGACCUCUACACUGUUGAUGAUUCUCUUCCAUUUAUCCUCAAUAUAUUUGUGGCCAACUUCUUCGGCUUACUUGGCACCCUUGUUGUUUUGUGUUAUUCACAGGUUAUGUUUCUACUCAUCUUAGUCCCUCUCUGGCUUAUCUACAGCAAAGUGCAGUUCUAUUACAGGUCGACAUCACGUGAAGUACGACGGCUUGACAGUGUUGCUCGUUCACCUAUCUAUUCAUCUUUUACAGAGACACUUGAUGGUUCAUCAACGAUAAGAGCAUUCCAAAAGGAGGAUUUUUUCUUAGAGAGGUUCAUCCAACAACUGACACUAUAUCAGAAAACAUCCUACUCUGAGCUUACUGCUAGUCUGUGGCUCUCACUAAGACUCCAGUUGUUGGCAGGGUUGAUCAUUUUAUUCAUCGCUGUGAUUUCCGUUGUUGGCUUCCAUAGCAACUCUCCUGUUAAGUUUGGUACACCUGGACUGGUUGGCCUGGCGUUAUCGUAUGCAGCACCUGUUGUAUCACUGUUGAAUAGCUUCUUAACCACUUUUACAGAGACAGAAAAGGAAAUGAUCUCUGUUGAGAGGGUUGUUGAGUAUGUCGAUAUACCUCAAGAAGAACUCCAGGGAUCAGAAUCUCCUGAUAGAAGUUGGCCAACAGAAGGGAAGAUUGAGUUUGAGCAUGUAACUCUAAGGUACAAAGCGGAUCUACCACCAGCUUUGGAUGAAAUAUCAUUCCAUAUUGAAUCUGGCAUGCAGGUUGGAAUAAUAGGAAGGACCGGAGCAGGAAAAUCCAGUAUACUGAAUGCACUUUUCCGUUUAACUCCAAUCUGCAAUGGUCGCAUCUUAGUAGACGGUUUUGAUGUGGCCAAAGUUGCUGUCCGAGAUCUUCGUGCACAUUUUGCAGUAGUACCGCAGAGUCCGUUUUUGUUUGAUGGUUCUUUGAGGGAAAACCUAGACCCUUUCGGUAUAACAACAGAUAUCAGGAUAUGGGAAGCUCUUGAAAAAUGCCAUAUGAAGGCAGAGAUAGAAUCAAUAGGAGGACUCAAUAUCCAUGUGAAAGAAAGUGGUGGAUCCUUUUCAGUAGGCCAGCGACAACUCCUAUGUCUCGCCCGUGCUAUCCUAAAAUCAUCAAAGGUACUUUGCCUUGAUGAGUGCACAGCCAAUGUUGACAAUCAGACAGCAUUCCUGUUACAGAAUACUAUUUCUGCUGAAUGCAAGGGCAUGACGGUCCUCACAAUAGCCCACCGCAUUUCAACUGUGAUGAAGAUGGACAAUAUUCUAGUUCUUGAUCAAGGCAAACUGGUUGAAGAAGGAAACCCGGAGGUUCUUAUGAAUGACAACAGAUCAAGAUUCUCACGAUUUGCUUAG
rnacentral:rRNA from 1 species